UGCCCAGUGAAGUUUAAACGGCCGCGGUAUCCUAACCGUGCAAAGGUAGCGUAAUCACUUGUCUUAUAAAUGAAGACCUGUAUGAAUGGCUAUAUGAGUAUUUUACUGUCUCCUUUAACUAAUCAGUGAAACUGAUCUUUCAGUACAAAAGCUGAAAUAUUAAUAUAAGACGAGAAGACCCCGUGGAGCUUUAAAUUUUUAACAAAGCAUUACAAAAGGCGCUUAUGGUAAAAAAUUUUUAGUUGGGGCGACUUUGGAGUAAAAUUUAACCUCCAAGAAAAGGUACUACCUAACUUUAGGCUUACAAGCCAAACUAUAAAGACCCAGUACUACACACUGAUCAACGAACCAAGUUACCCCGGGGAUAACAGCGCCAUCUUCUUCAAGAGUUCAUAUCGACAAGAAGGUUUACGACCUCGAUGUUGGAUCAGGACACCCAAAUGGUGUAGCCGCUAUUAAAGGUUCGUUUGUUCAACGAUUAACAGUCCUACGUGAUCUGAGUCCCAGAC
rnacentral:rRNA from 1 species